rnacentral:rRNA from 1 species
UACGAGGGGGGCAAAUGUUGUUCGGAAUCACUGGGCGUAAAGCGCGCGUAGGCGGUCUAUUAAGUCUGAGGUGAAAGGUUCAACGCUCAACGUGAACAGUGCCUUGGAUACUGGUAGACUUGAGUGUGGCAGAGGAGUAUGGAAUUCCUGGUGUAGCGGUGAAAUGCGUAGAUAUCGGGAGGAACACCGGUGGCGAAGGCGGGUCUCUGGGCCGAUACUGACGCUGAGGAGCGAAAGCGUGGGGAGCGAACAGGAUUGAGAAACCCU